rnacentral:rRNA from 1 species
UACGUAGGGUGCAAGCGUUGUCCGGAAUUAUUGGGCGUAAAGAGCUCGUAGGCGGUCUGUCGCGUCGGCUGUGAAAACCCGGGGCUCAACCCCGGGCUUGCAGUGGAUACGGGCUGGCUAGAGGCAGGCAGGGGAGAACGGAAUUCCCGGUGUAGCGGUGAAAUGCGCAGAUAUCGGGAGGAACACCGGUGGCGAAGGCGGUUCUCUGGGCCUGUACUGACGCUGAGGAGCGAAAGCGUGGGGAGCGAACAGG